GCUUGUGAGGGCGAUCUGGCUGCGACAUCUGUCACCCCAUUGAUCUCCAGGGUUGAUUCGGCUGAUCUGGCUGGCUAGG
rnacentral:snRNA from 1 species